rnacentral:tmRNA from 1 species
GGGGGCGACCUGGGUUCGACGUGGAAGAGGACGCCCGAGGUGCAUGCCGAGGAUGCAGAGUCCCUCGUAAAUCCCUCUGCAAAAAAGAUAGUUGCCAACGACGACAACUACGCCCUAGCCGCUUAAAGACGGCUAGCCUCCGCCCCGAGGUGUGCCUGUUCACACGGGUAGCGGGGGUCGCCAAUAACAGGAUCGCGGGAAGGUUCGUCCAGGGCCGACCCGUUAAACCCCAACUGGACUAGUUGGCCGUGCUCCCUGUCCGUCGGGUAGCGGUCAGCGAAUGUAAUGGACGGACUAAGCAUGUAGAGCCGACGGUAGAAUCUCCGCGGACGCGGGUUCAAUUCCCGCCGCCUCCACCA